rnacentral:rRNA from 1 species
AGCGAACGCUGGCGGCAGGCUUAACACAUGCAAGUCGAGCGGGCAUCCUUGUGGUGUCAGCGGCAGACGGGUGCGUAACGCGUGUGAACGUGCCCUUCGGUUCGGAAUAACUCGAGUAAACUUAAGCUAAUACCGGAUACGUGCGAGAGCAGAAAGGUUUAUCUGCCGAAGGAUCGGCCGGCGUCUGAUUAGUUAGUUGGUGAGGUUAGGGCUCACCAAGGCGACGAUCAGUAGCUGGUCUGAGAGGAUGAUCAGACACACUGGGACUGAGACACGGCACAGACUCCUACGGGAGGCAGCAGUGGGGGAUAUUGGACAAUGGGGGCAACCAUGAUCCAGCCAUGCCGCGUGAGUGAUGACGGCCGUAGGGUUGUAAAGCUCUUUUCUCCGGGACGAUAAUGACGGUACCGGAGGAAUAAGCCCCGGCUAACUUCGUG